rnacentral:tRNA from 1 species
AGAGCAACCGGCUCAUAACCGGUCGGUCCCGGGUUCGAGUCCCUGAAGGUCCA